rnacentral:rRNA from 1 species
AACGAAUGCUGGCGGCAGGCCUAACACAUGCAAGUCGAGCGCCCAGCAAUGGGAGCGGCGCACGGGUGAGUAACGCGUGGGAAUAUGCCCUUUGGUACGGAACAACGUCGGGAAACUGACGCUAAUACCGUAUAUGACGAGAGUUGAAAGAUUUAUCGCCAAAGGAUUAGCCCGCGUUAGAUUAUGGUAGUUGGUGGGGUAAUGGCCUACCAAGCCGACGAUCUAUAGCUGGUUUGAGAGGAUGAUCAGACACACUGGGACUGAGACACGGCCCAGACUCCUACGGAAGGCAGCAGUGGUGAAUCUUGCACAAUGGCCGAAAGUCUGAUGCAGCCAUGCCGCGUGUGUGAUGAAGGCCUUCGGGUUGUAAAGCACUUUUGGCGGGGACGAUAAUGACGGUACCCGCAGAAUAAGCCCCGGCUAACUUCGUGCCAGCCGCCGCCGUAA